rnacentral:rRNA from 1 species
AUUGAACGCUGGCGGCAUGCCUUACACAUGCAAGUCGAACGGUAACAGGUCUUCGGAUGCUGACGAGUGGCGAACGGGUGAGUAAUUCGUCGGAACGUGCCGAGUAGUGGGGGAUAACGCAUCGAAAGGUGUGCUAAUACCGCAUACGUACUGAGGUAGAAAGUGGGGGACCUUCGGGCCUCACGCUAUUCGAGCGGCCGACGUCUGAUUAGCUAGUUGGUGAGGUAAAGGCUCACCAAGGCGACGAUCAGUAGCGGGUCUGAGAGGAUGAUCCGCCACACUGGGACGGAGACACGGCCCAGACUCCUACGGGAGGCAGCAGUGGGGAAUUUUGGACAAUGGGCGCAAGCCUGAUCCAGCCAUGCCGCGUGUCUGAAGAAGGCCUUCGGGUUGUAAAGGACUUUUGUCCGGGAGCAAAUGCUGGUGGCUAACAUCCACCGGAGCUGAGAGUACCGGAAGAAUGAGCACCGGCUAACUACGUGCCAGCCGCCGCUGUAACAC